rnacentral:rRNA from 1 species
CAGUAGCCACGGGAAUACGGAGGGUGCGAGCGUUAAUCGGAAUAACUGGGCGUAAAGGGCACGCAGGCGGUGACUUAAGUGAGGUGUGAAAGCCCCGGGCUUAACCUGGGAACUGCGCUUGUGACUGCACAGCUAGAGUAUGGCAGAGGGGGGUGGAAUUCCACGUGUAGCAGUGAAACGCGUAGAGAUGUGGAGGAACACCGAUGGCGAAGGCAGCCCCCUGGGCCAAUACUGACGCUCAUGCACGAAAGCGUGGGGAGCAAACAGGAUUAGAUACCCGAGUAGUCCCUGUCUCUUAUAC